CGUAGGUGGUAGUGUAAGUCUGGGGUGGAAUGCCGGGGCUUAACCCUGGAAUUGCCUUGGAAACUGCAUUACUUGAGUCAGUGAGGGGAGGGUAGAAUUCCUGGUGUAGCGGUGAAAUGCGUAGAUAUCAGGAGGAAGGCCUGUGGCGAAGGCGGCCCUCUGGUGCUGGACUGACACUGAGGCGCGAAAGCGUGGGGAGCAAACAGGAUUAGAUACCCUGGUAGUCCACGCCCUAAACGGUGGGCACUAGGUGUAGGGCUCGUAAGGGUUCUGUGCCGAAGGGAAACCAUUAAGUGCCCCGCCUGGGGAGUACGGCCGCAAGGUUGAA
rnacentral:rRNA from 1 species